GCGAGAGCCAAAGAGAUCUUCCACGCGUUCUUGGCCCUUCUCCUCCUCGCCGUCGUUCUUCAUUUCUCUCCUCACCACCGGCCACUUGUCUGCUUCCCUUUUCUGCUGUUGUUCGUCCGCCACUGUGGAAGUCAGCUGAAAAUAUGUUGUGAUUCUGCACUGCUCCUCCUAUCCUGCUCCGUGUGGGGUGAACGUGUGGUUGGUCUUUGUCUCUUCUUCCUCCUUAGAUGAUGGAAGUAGCACUCUUGUGUAUGGGUGUUUGUAGGAGGUGUUAGUUCGUGUGCAGGCCAAUGCACAUGGAACGGAGGGAUGGAUAUUUUACAUGAUUUCAUUACAAGAGUCAUAAUAUAGACAACCAAAUGUCCUUAAUGACAAUAAUAGCAAUAAUUUAUGCAAAUGUAAGACAACUAAUUAUUUGUUUUUCUUUGC